GGGCCUUCCUUCCAAGAAGAGAGCGGUCAGUGGCAAUCUCUGAGACACAUUGUGAUAUCAUCAGAUCAAGCAAACUGAGAUAUUUGACCCUUCCCUCUUCUUCAUUCCUUAGGUGGAAAAUGAAUUAACUUCUAGGAAUUUUAAAUGUUAUUAAGACUCCUGGGGGCAUCUUUGUUGAAUGGAGCAACUCUUUCCAAGGGCACGUUUGGUUCGCAACGAGAAUCCAAAUGGAUUGGAAUGAGAAAUAUUAAAAAAUAAUAGGGAUUGGAUUUGAGAGAACUGAGGCAA
rnacentral:lncRNA from 1 species